GUUUUGUUAAAAAGCCAGACAUUUAAUCAUACACUUUAUGUCUCUGAAAGUGAAGAUUACAAAACAAUGUCUGAAAGUAUCAAAACAGAAAUUGUUAGAGAAAUGCGCAUUAGACUGAAAGAUGACCAGUUUGAUAUCAUUGUGCUUGGAUUCAGACCUGGGAGUGUGAUUGCUGAUUUUAUUUCUCUAUUGCAAACCCAAGACUCCAUUGGUGUGAAUGUUAUGCAGACACACUUAAGUCAAAUACUGAAGAGCAAGUUUGGUGACCAAACUGAAGUAACUACACAAUCUUUCUCUGCUCAGUCAUCAACUGAAAAAUCUUCCACCUGGAAAGUGGCAGUGAUUGUCCUUGGAGUUUUACUUGGAGUUGCAUUAGUGCUGAUUUUUCUGAUAACAUUGUUUUACAUUUAUACGAAGAAAAGAUCGGGUGCAUAUUUGACUGAACCUAAAGGACUCCUGGGAAAUUUUGUCUACAAGCACUUAUAAUAAAAGUGUUCAGUUUCAUUUUCAUAUUUUGGGUAAAGGGGAAAAUUAAUUUAUUUUUCUUAAAUUCUAUGUUAAUUGUGUAUGUUAAUUUCACAUAACCCUAUCUGCUCCUUCCCAACAUCCAUCACCAAAUUCCUGAGUGCCUAACAACCUUUAAUGAAUGAAUCAUCCUUUUAACAUUGCUCUCAGGUAUGGAGUGGUGAAAUUUCCCCAUUGUGCAU
rnacentral:lncRNA from 14 species